rnacentral:rRNA from 1 species
AUACGGAGGGUGCAAGCGUUAAUCGGAAUUACUGGGCGUAAAGCGUACGUAGGCGGUUUAUUAAGUCAGAUGUGAAAGCCCCGGGCUUAACCUGGGAACUGCAUUUGAAACUAGUAGACUAGAGUAUGGUAGAGGGGGGUAGAAUUCCUGGUGUAGCGGUGAAAUGCGUAGAUAUUAGGAGGAAUACCAGUGGCGAAGGCGGCCCCCUGGACCAAUACUGACGCUGAGGUACGAAAGCGUGGGGAGCGAACAGGAUUAGAAACCCGAGUAGUCC